rnacentral:rRNA from 1 species
UACAGAGGUCUCAAGCGUUGUUCGGAUUCAUUGGGCGUAAAGCGCGCGUAGGCGGCCAGGUAUGUCGUGCGUGAAAUCUCCCGGCUUAACUGGGAGGGGCCGUGCGAAACUGCCUGGCUUGAGGUCGGAAGGGGAAAGUGGAAUUCCGGGUGUAGUGGUGGAAUACGUAGAUAUCCGGAGGAACACCAGCGGCGAAGGCGGCUUUCUGGUCCGAUUCUGACGCUGAGGCGCGAAAGCGUGGGGAGCGAUCAGG